rnacentral:rRNA from 1 species
AGAGUUUGAUCCUGGCUCAGGAUGAACGCUAGCUACAGGCUUAACACAUGCAAGUCGAGGGGAAACGAUAUUGGAAGCUUGCUUCCGAUAGGCGUCGACCGGCGCACGGGUGAGUAACGCGUAUCCAACCUGCCCACCACUUGGGGAUAACCUUGCGAAAGUAAGACUAAUACCCAAUGACGUCUCUAGAAGACAUCUGAAAGAGAUUAAAGAUUUAUCGGUGAUGGAUGGGGAUGCGUCUGAUUAGCUUGUUGGCGGGGUAACGGCCCACCAAGGCGACGAUCAGUAGGGGUUCUGAGAGGAAGGUCCCCCACAUUGGAACUGAGACACGGUCCAAACUCCUACGGGAGGCAGCAGUGAGGAAUAUUGGUCAAUGGACGAGAGUCUGAACCAGCCAAGUAGCGUGCAGGAUGACGGCCCUAUGGGUUGUAAACUGCUUUUAUAAGGGAAUAAAGUGAGUCUCGUGAGACUUUUUGCAUGUACCUUAUGAAUAAGGACCGGCUAAUUCCGUGCCAGCAGCCGCGGUAAUACGGAAGGUCCGGGCGUUAUCCGGAUUUAUUGGGUUUAAAGGGAGCGUAGGCCGGAGGUUAAGCGUGUUGUGAAAUGUAGACGCUCAACGUCUGCACUGCAGCGCGAACUGGUUUCCUUGAGUACGCACAAAGUGGGCGGAAUUCGUGGUGUAGCGGUGAAAUGCUUAGAUAUCACGAAGAACUCCGAUUGCGAAGGCAGCUCACUGGAGCGCAACUGACGCUGAAGCUCGAAAGUGCGGGUAUCGAACAGGAUUAGAUACCCUGGUAGUCCGCACGGUAAACGAUGGAUGCCCGCUAUUCGCCCACCUGGGCGAGUGGCCAAGCGAAAGCGUUAAGCAUCCCACCUGGGGAGUACGCCGGCAACGGUGAAACUCAAAGGAAUUGACGGGGGCCCGCACAAGCGGAGGAACAUGUGGUUUAA